rnacentral:tRNA from 1 species
GUAUUAGUGGUGCAGUGGUAGAAUUUUUGCCUUCAAUGCAGAACACCCGGUUUCUAUUCCCAGCCAAUGCA